rnacentral:rRNA from 1 species
CCGAAGCUAUGAACCGAAGCCCCAGUAAACGGCGGCCGUAACUAUAACGGUCCUAAGGUAGCGAAAUUCCUUGUCAGGUAAAUUCUGACCCGCACGAAUGGCGUAACGACUUGGGCGCUGUCUCAACGAGAGAUCCGGUGAAAUUUUAAUACCUGUGAAGAUGCAGGUUACCCGCGACAAGACGGAAAGACCCCAUGGAGCUUUACUGCAGCUUGAUAUUGAAUUUGGGUACGAUCUGUACAGGAUAGGUGGGAGCCGUAGAAAUCGGAGCGCAAGCUUCGGUGGAGGCGCCGUUGGGAUACCACCCUGAUCGUAUCUAGGUUCUAACCUAGUACCCUUACCGGGUACGGGGACCGUGUCAGGCGGGCAGUUUGACUGGGGCGGUCGCCUCCUAAAGAGUAACGGAGGCG